GAGGUUAGAUGGAACAAGUGUACUGGGUGGAGGAUAGAUGGAACAGGUGUAGAGGGUGGAGGUUAGAGGGAACAGGUGUACUGGGUGGAGGUUAGAGGGAACAGGAUGAGGAUGAGGAUGAGGACGAGGACGAGGAUGAGGAUGAGGACGAGGAUGAGGAUGAGGAUGAGGAUGAAGGUUGCCUGACGGGACAGAGAUCUGUGAAGGAGUGUACUUACAGUUCUCUCCAGUCCAUUGUCUCUUCUCAGAGUUCAUAACAGCAAACAGACGACUGAGGUUUAUUUUUCCCGACGCUUAUCUGUUCACGUUUACACUUUCGGUCCAUGCUUUCCUGCAGGUCGGAGGAAGUGGAUGAGAGGCGAGUGACGGAGGCACCGGGGUUCCCGAAGAUGGGGAUUUCAUUCGAGAUUCUGGAUUUGAAGCAAAUAAGAAGCUCGGAUAUACGUAGGGAAAGGACGACGAAGCAGGAAUGACGGUAAGAUGUCAGAAAAGCUGGCGAAAGCGAGCCGGGAAAAGUUUCCUGGCACGGAAAGCAAAUCCCACAGACUCGGCUCAUAGAGAUGCACCAUUCCUGGAAAACUCCAAGGUAAAGAUUUCUUCUUUAUCGCUGUGCACUUCUGGAAAUCACUUCCUCUCACGGAAAACCAAAUUAUCCAUCCACGAUCUACGCCAAAGUCCGAAAAGAAUUCCGAAGAUUCACUUUCUUUUCCUUCUUCUAUUCGUGUCAGUUCCUCUUUUGCGGUUGUUCCCAACUGGGGCGCGUCUUCCUCUCGUCACUCAACUCCACACCUUAACCUUGUUCUGCACUGCACUCUCUCCCGCUCUCUGUGCUUCUCUCUCUUCCUUAGAGCAAAGGAUGACGAGAGUCCGGGAUCAGGCAAGAGGGGCGGAAUACCGUCGGGAAUUCAUCGGGAGAUUGAAUCGGACGCGAUUCUUGCUCCCCCUGUUGCUGGGAAACCCUGGCAGAAGUCCAAUGGUCCCUCCUUUCCUCUCUUCUCUCCUCUCCACGUCUCUCUCUCAAUCUAUG
ensembl:lncRNA